rnacentral:rRNA from 1 species
AGUGAACGCUGGCGGUAGGCCUAACACAUGCAAGUCGAACGGCAGCACAGUAAGAGCUUGCUCUUACGGGUGGCGAGUGGCGGACGGGUGAGGAAUACAUCGGAAUCUACUUUUUCGUGGGGGAUAACGUAGGGAAACUUACGCUAAUACCGCAUACGACCUACGGGUGAAAGCAGGGGAUCUUCGGACCUUGCGCGAUUGAAUGAGCCGAUGUCGGAUUAGCUAGUUGGCGGGGUAAAGGCCCACCAAGGCGACGAUCCGUAGCUGGUCUGAGAGGAUGAUCAGCCACACUGGAACUGAGACACGGUCCAGACUCCUACGGGAGGCAGCAGUGGGGAAUAUUGGACAAGGGGCGCAAGCCUGAUCCAGCCAUACCGCGUGGGUGAAGAAGGCCUUCGGGUUGUAAAGCCCUUUUGUUGGGAAAGAAAAGCAGCAGGUUAAUACCCCGCUGUUCUGACGGGACCCAAAGAAGAGCACCGGCUAACUUCGUG